GACGAACGCUGGCGGCGCGCCUAACACAUGCAAGUCGAGCGAUGAAAUUUUAACCGAUCUCUUCGGAGAGAAGAUAAAAUGGAUUAGCGGCGGACGGGUGAGUAACACGUGAGAAACCUGCCUUUCACAAGGGGAUAGCCUCGGGAAACCGGGAUUAAUACCCUAUGACACAUUUCCUUCGCAUGGAAGAAAUGUUAAAACUCCGGUGGUGAAAGAUGGUCUCGCGCCUGAUUAGCUAGUUGGUGGGGUAACGGCCCACCAAGGCCAUGAUCAGUAACCGGCAUGAGAGGGUGAACGGUCACAUUGGAACUGAGACACGGUCCAAACUCCUACGGGAGGCAGCAGUGGGGAAUAUUGCACAAUGGAGGAAACUCUGAUGCAGCGACGCCGCGUGAGCGAUGAAGGCUUUCGAGUCGUAAAGCUCUGUCCUAUGGGAAGAUAAUGACGGUACCAUAGGAGGAAGCCCCGGCUAACUACGUG
rnacentral:rRNA from 1 species